UACGGUUUGUUGAUUGGGUCUAGCUGUAUAAGAAGAAAGACCGGCGCUUGUUAAAUUUACUAGCGUCCAACAUAACCAAAGGAAAAAAGCUAAAUGGCAACAGGUACAGUUAAGUGGUUCAACUCUGAAAAGGGUUUCGGUUUCAUUGCAGUUGAUGGUGGCGGACAAGAUGUUUUCGUUCACUACUCAGCAAUCCAAGGAAACGGUUACAAGUCCCUUGAAGAGGGUCAGGCAGUUACAUUCGAAGUAGUCCAAGGUCCAAAAGGUCCUCAGGCUGACGCUGUAAACCCUGCAUAAAUAACCAUUAACCUUCUUAAGUUUUAAUACUUAAGAUUAAAGAUUUAGGGUCUGCUAGAAAUAGCAGGCCCUAUUU
rnacentral:sRNA from 1 species